UGCAUAUCUUUUCAGCCACUCUCCCCUUGGUGAACUCCUAGUCAUGCUUCAAAGCCCAACUCACCAUGUCACCUCCUCUGAGAAGCCUUCCUUUGCCUAUUUUUGCUCUCAUUACACUUUGUGCAUCCAUCUACCACUUAGCACUCAGCCCACUGGAUCACAAUUGUUCAUUGUGUGUGUCAUGUGGACAGGGACCAAAUCUUAUUCCCAACUUCCAACUCAUGACCUGGCAUGGGAUAGGGGAGAGGCUAAUUCAUUCCCUAGCCCAAACCUUAUCCUCACUUUUGGUACAAAACUCACUGGCUGCAGUGAGUUUUCAGGACCCGUCUUAACUGUUCUACAGCUUGGCAGAGUGACUGAAGGGAAGAACCCAGUUGGAUGAAAUCACUGCAUAUGGUCAUCUGAAGUAUAGUUUGUCUGAUGCUGGAAGAAUUCUUAGUUGACCCUGAAGUGGCCUCUUUGUCUGCCUGCUGUGCCCCUCAAAGAUGAGAAGCUUCUCUCUGACAGCUGGAAGAGCUGGACCCUGCAUUCUGGAAAGUAUUUAGGCAGUUCUCUGAGCCCUUCCCCUAGUACCAAGUAGUGAAUGAAGCAGAGCCUUCGAAGCCAGAAGGUCUAGACUGAAAGCACAGCUCGCCACCUGCUCACCAAUGAACCGGGGAAAGUUGCUUACCCUUUGGAAUCCUCAGCUUACUUCUCUGAAAGGCUUGCUUCUUGUUCCCAUCUACAUGGAUCCCAGCUUAAAUCUUGAUUCCUUCUGCUCCAUUCCAUUUUACACACUGUGGCCCCUCCAACUUUGUAUAAUCACAUAGAGCAUCCUCACGUGCCGAGUCUGGGCCACCUCAGAAUCAAGACAAGCCUUGACCCCACCACCUACACAAUGGCUCUAAAUCAGUGCGCUAGUGUACAAAAAACUAUCAUGAGGUACAAUCAAGAUGAUUAAUGCAAAAGGAAAUAGAGUCAUGUAAAUGCUAAAGUGACAAAUUAAUGCUUCUUGUUGUCAUUGUUGUUAUUUUUAUAAUUAUGCAGGAUUUAU